CAGCUGUACAGUUAAUAUACAGCUUCACAAAUUUACAGUUUAUAUACAGCUUUACAUAUGCAGAUUUGAUAUGCAUCUUUAGAACUGGACAUCAAGAAUACUUGUACUAAAGUAGCUGUGUAUACCUCUAGCUUAUGUUAAAUAAAUAAACGCAUAGCAAUACGCACAGUUUAAAAGAAGACCGAGUCCGAAGUUAGAAUAAGUAACAAAACAAUCAAGCACUUCCCAAAGGGUAUAGUUUUAGCAACUAUGUACAAAUUAAAACAUAAGGAA
rnacentral:lncRNA from 1 species